rnacentral:rRNA from 1 species
GGCUAACUACGUGCCAGCAGCCGCGGUAAUACGUAGGGGGCAAGCGUUAUCCGGAAUUAUUGGGCGUAAAGAGUGCGUAGGUGGUUACCUAAGCGCAAGGUUUAAUUUAGAGGCUCAACCUCUACUUGCCUUGCGAACUGGGCUACUUGAGUGCAGGAGAGGAAAGCGGAAUUCCUAGUGUAGCGGUGAAAUGCGUAGAUAUUAGGAGGAACACCAGCGGCGAAGGCGGCUUUCUGGACUGUAACUGACACUGAGGCACGAAAGCGUGGGUAGCAAACAGGAUUAGAUACCCUGGUAGUCCACGCCGUAAACGAUGAGCACUAGGUGUCGGGGUCGCAAGACUUCGGUGCCGCAGUUAACGCAUUAAGUGCUCCGCCUGGGGAGUACGCACGCAAGUGUAAAACUCAAAGGAAUUGACGGGGACCCGCACAAGCAGCGGAGCAUGUGGUUUAAUUCGAAGCAACGCGAAGAACCUUACCAGGGCUUGACAUCCUGCUGACAGGACCUUAACCGGUCCCUUCUUCGGACAGCAGAGACAGGUGGUGCAUGGUUGUCGUCAGCUCGUGUCGUGAGAUGUUGGGUUAAGUCCCGCAACGAGCGCAACCCUUGUCGCUAGUUACUAACAUUCAGUUGAGGACUCUAGCGAGACUGCCGAGGUCAACUCGGAGGAAGGUGGGGAUGACGUCAAAUCAUCAUGCCCCUUAUGUUCUGGGCUACACACGUGCUACAAUGGUCGGUACAAUGAGAGGCAAUACUGUGAAGUGGAGCAAAUCACCAAAACCGAUCCCAGUUCGGAUUGUAGGCUGCAACUCGCCUACAUGAAGUUGGAGUUGCUAGUAAUCGCAGAUCAGAAUGCUGCGGUGAAUGCGUUCCCGGGUCUUGUACACACCGCCCGUCACACCAUGGAAGUUGGGGGUGCCCAAAGUCGGUUAAUUAAUCUAUCGCCUAAGGCAAAACCAAUGACUGGGGUGAAGUCGUAACAAGGUAGCCGUUCGAGAACGAGCGGCUGGAUCA